CCUACGGGUGCGUAACGCGUAUGCAACCUACCCAUUACAGCGGGAUAGCCCGGAGAAAUCCGGAUUAAUACCGCAUGGUAUCACAAAUUCGCAUGUUUUUGUGAUUAAAGAUUUAUCGGUAAUGGAUGGGCAUGCGUAUGAUUAGUUAGUUGGAGAGGUAACGGCUCACCAAGGCGACGAUCAUUAGGGGUUCUGAGAGGAAGGUCCCCCACACUGGUACUGAGACACGGACCAGACUCCUACGGGAGGCAGCAGUGAGGAAUAUUGGGCAAUGGAGGCAACUCUGACCCAGCCAUGUCGCGUGCAGGAAGACGGCCCUAUGGGUUGUAAACUGCUUUUAUACGGGAAUAAAAGCCCUACGUGUAGGGAGUUACAUGUACCGUAAGAAUAAGCACCGGCUAACUCCGUGCCAGCAGCCGCGGUAAUACGGAGGGUGCAAGCGUUAUCCGGAUUUAUUGGGUUUAAAGGGUGCGUAGGUGGAAUUAUAAGUCAGUGGUGAAAUUUUGCGGCUUAACCGUAAAACUGCCAUUGAAACUGUAGUUCUUGAGAGAAUUCGAGGUAUGCGGAAUGUGUUGUGUAGCGGUGAAAUGCAUAGAUAUAACACAGAACACCGAUUGCGUAGGCAGCGUACCAGGAUUUUUCUGACACUGAUGCACGAAAGCGUGGGGAGCGAACAGGAUUAGAUACCCUGGUAGUCCACGCCGUAAACGAUGCUCACUCGUUGUUGGCAAGUUAUAUUGUCAGUGACCAAGCGAAAGUAUUAAGUGAGCCACCUGGGGAGUACGUCGGCAACGAUGAAACUCAAAGGAAUUGACGGGGGCCCGCACAAGCGGAGGAACAUGUGGUUUAAUUCGAUGAUACGCGAGGAACCUUACCUGGACUUAAAUGUAGAUUGCAUAGCGCAGAGAUGUGCUUUUCUUCGGACUAUUUACAAGGUGCUGCAUGGUUGUCGUCAGCUCGUGCCGUGAGGUGUCGGGUUAAGUCCCAUAACGAGCGCAACCCCUACCGUUAGUUACCAGCAUGUUAUGAUGGGGACUCUAGCGGGACUGCCGGUGUAAACCGCGAGGAAGGUGGGGAUGACGUCAAAUCAGCACGGCCCUUACGUCCAGGGCUACACACGUGUUACAAUGGCAGGUACAGAGGGCAGCUACAUAGCAAUAUGAUGCGAAUCUCGAAAGCCUGUCUCAGUUCGGAUUGGAGUCUGCAACCCGACUCCAUGAAGUUGGAUUCGCUAGUAAUCGCGCAUCAGCCAUGGCGCGGUGAAUACGUUCCCGGGCCUUGUACACACCGCCCGUCAAGCCAUGGAAGCUGGGGGUACCUGAAGUUCGUAACCGCAAGGAGCGACCUAGGGUAAAACUGGUAACUGGGGCUAAGUCGUAACAAGGUA
rnacentral:rRNA from 1 species